CAGAAGUGCCUGCCCAUGGUGCUGUACAGGAGCCCAGGUGAGAGGAAGCGGAAAGGUGGAUCGUGUAACUCCAACAAACAGACCAUCCCCGACAAGGUACCAGACAUAUGAGUGAAGAAUCAUGGACCCUCCAGUCCACCCCAUCCACCAGCUGAAGACCAUGAGUAACCUGGGCCACAUGGAGCAGAAUACCCAGCUAUGCCCUGCCCAAGUCCUUGGCUCGCAAACUCAUUAGGACUUGGAUUGAUGGACUCUCUAGCCUGAGACUGAGGCCCUCCUUCUAAUGAAUGGGGCAGAACCAAGCACCUUCAACCUCAUAUGAAGAGCAGUCAAAGAAAGUUUAAAGCAAAAUGACCAUAGGGGGAGGGCAGGUUUGUGUGCAGAGAUGGCCCUGAAGAAGAGUGCUGCCAUGGCAACACAAAGACAGCAGACAGGCUCAUGCACUUGCCACCAGUGGGGUUCUAAUAAAUGUUUUGGGGAGGCAUG
rnacentral:lncRNA from 1 species